GACGAACGCUGGCGGCGUGCUUAACACAUGCAAGUCGAACGAGAAAGCCCCUUCGGGGGUGAGUACAGUGGCGAACGGGUGAGUAACACGUGGGCAACCUGCCCUAGGGAGCGGGACAACCCGAGGAAACUCGGGCUAAUACCGCAUGAUUCGCAGAGUCAUAAAGGCUCUGCGGGAAAUGGUAGCUUCGGCCUCCGCCCUAGGAUGGGCCCGCGGCGCAUUAGCUUGUUGGUGAGGAACGGCCCACCAAGGCGACGAUGCGUAGCUGGUCUGAGAGGACGAUCAGCCACACUGGGACUGAGACACGGCCCAGACUCCUACGGGAGGCAGCAGUGGGGAAUAUUGGACAAUGGGCGCAAGCCUGAUCCAGCGAUG
rnacentral:rRNA from 1 species